rnacentral:rRNA from 1 species
GACGAACGCUGGCGGCGUGCUUAACACAUGCAAGUCGAACGAGGAAUAGGGUGCUUGCACCCUAUAGCCGAGUGGCGGACGGGUGAGUAACACGUGACUGACCUAUCUUUGGGAGGGGGACAACCUGGGGAAACCCGGGCUAAUACCGCGUAAUGUCCGAGGGCUGCAUGGCCCAUGGAUGAAAGGGAGCCUCUGUUUACAAGCUUCCACCUAAAGAGGGGGUCGCGGCGUAUCAGCUUGUUGGUGAGGUAACGGCUCACCAAGGCUACGACGCGUAGCGGGUCUGAGAGGACGACCCGUCACAUUGGGACUGAGAUACGGCCCAG